UACGUAGGUGGCGAGCGUUGUCCGGAUUUACUGGGCGUAAAGGGAGCGUAGGCGGACUUUUAAGUGAGAUGUGAAAUACCCGAGCUCAACUUGGGUGCUGCAUUUCAAACUGGAAGUCUAGAGUGCAGGAGAGGAGAAUGGAAUUCCUAGUGUAGCGAUGAAAUGCGUAGAGAUUAGGAAGAACACCAGUGGCGAAGGCGAUUCUCUGGACUGUAACUGACGCUGAGGCUCGAAAGCGUGGGGAACAAACAGGAUUAGAUA
rnacentral:rRNA from 1 species